CAAAAUCUUAUAAAAGACGAUAUAACUCAGGCAAUAUCAACAGAUUUCUUUAUAUUUCUUUGCAAUCCAAUUUGUGAAUAUGAAAUUGCUUAUUCUGAUGGCUUUAUGCUUUAUUUCUCUCGCUGUACCUUCAAAGGGUUAUUAUGGCCGGGGAGGUUAUCACCCUCCCCGGCGAGGAGGUGGAAUUGGAUGGCCACCUAUUGACUUCAAUGUUAAUAUACCUCCUCCUGAUUAUAGUAAUGACUUUGCGAAUGACUAUUAUGCAAUCUAUUAAGUCAUCCUAAAGCCCUAUAUGCAAAAUACAUUUAAAAAAAUUAAUUAAAUUUUUAAUCUUUGUAUUUUCUUUGGUGACAUAAAAAAAAUAAUAAACUGCAUUGAAAAAUUUAA